UACGUAUGGUGCGAGCGUUGUCCGGAAUUACUGGGCGUAAAGAGCUCGUAGGUGGUUUGUCGCGUUGUUCGUGAAAACCGGGGGCUUAACCCUCGGCGUGCGGGCGAUACGGGCAGACUUGAGUACUGCAGGGGAGACUGGAAUUCCUGGUGUAGCGGUGAAAUGCGCAGAUAUCAGGAGGAACACCGGUGGCGAAGGCGGGUCUCUGGGCAACAACUGACGCUGAGGAGCGAAAGCGUGGGGAGCGAACAGG
rnacentral:rRNA from 1 species